rnacentral:rRNA from 1 species
UGGGGAAUAUUGCACAAUGGGCGCAAGCCUGAUGCAGCGACGCCGCGUGGGGAUGACGGCCUCGGGUUGUAAACCCUUUCGGCGGGAAGCAAGCCCUUGGGCUGAGGUACCCGCGGAAGAAGCGCCGGCUAACUACGUGCCAGCAGCCGCGGUAAUACGUAGGGCGCGAGCGUUAUCCGGAAUUAUUGGGCGUAAAGAGCUCGUAGGCGGUUUGUCGCGUCUGCUGUGAAAGCCCGGGGCUCAACCCCGGGUCUGCAGUGGGUACGGGCAGGCUGGAGUGCAGUAGGGGAGACUGGAAUUCCUGGUGUAGCGGUGAAAUGCGCAGAUAUCAGGAGGAACACCGAUGGCGAAGGCAGGUCUCUGGGCUGUAACUGACGCUGA